GAGGGAGAGGAUGAAGUCGCUGGCUUUUUUGUAGGAACCUUCUUUCGCUUUACCCCCGAAACCUUGCCCUUCUUCUCUGACGGCUGUCGGGCUGGUUGUGCAGCAGUAGCAGCGCCGGGCGCGCGUUCAUUCACGGUGGGGCCAGUCGAAUUUCCGCCCUGCAUGACGAUGUUGCCCUGCCACUUGCGGACGGACGCGAUGGUGCCUUGAGCGACGGCGGGGGCAACAUGGCUG
rnacentral:lncRNA from 1 species